AAUGUCGUAACAAGGUUUCCGUAGGUGAACCUGCGGAAGGAUCAUUAUCAACGUAUCCACGUUAAUAACCAAUCGUGAACCGUUUUCUGCCUCCAUUCGUAAUGAGUGAGUGCGUUCGAUUGACGUCAUCAGCAGCAAUGCUUACGGGACCUCUUUGAUUCUAAGUGGUUUUUGGGUCUAGUCACUUCGAUUCGCCUACAGUACGGCUGCGCUCAUUACCUUUGGUUGUAAAUUUUUUAAAUCGCUUGAUCUAAAUUUCAUAUUUACCAUUUCAACAAUACCAUUUCAAUAACAAUUAUUGAACUGAAUUGUUUCACUUUCUGAUGUAACAAUCGGAAAUUGAAAUGAAAAAAUACGAAAAAAUUAAAGAACAACUCUUAGCAACGGAUAUCUUGGUUCUC
rnacentral:misc_RNA from 1 species